UUUCAAGUAUUUUCCUUUAUUCCUCGUGUCAUGAGAUGAUGUUUGGGAUAUGGCAUGUGGAAGAGGAGGAGUCCUUCUCUUGGAAGGAAAUUGGAUGCCACAAAUAAAUGGGAUGCCUCCAUAUAUUUGGAUAUUAUGGUAGAGUCUUAAAUGUAAUGGACUCUUAAUUUCUUCCUUUAUUUCUCCAUGCAUUUCUUAAUUCCUCGUGACAUGAGAUGCCUCUUGGGAUUAUGGGCACAG
rnacentral:lncRNA from 1 species